CCGAGAAAACACCAAAUGGUGGAUGACGCCGGUGCAGCGUGGGGGCCGGAGGCCCUGGUGGCCCUGGGAUGGGGAACCGCGGUGGCUUCCGUGGAGGUUUCCGCAGUGGCAUCCGGCGCCGGGGUCGCGGCGGUGGACGGUGCCGGGGCCGGGGCCGAGGCCGCGGAGCUUGCGGAGCCAAGGCCGAGGAUAAGGAGUGGAUGCCCAUCACCAAGCUGGGCCACUUGGUCAAGGACAUGAAGAUCAAGUACCUGAGGGAGAUCUACCUCUUCUCCCUGCCCAUUAAGGAAUCUGAGAUCAUUGACUUUUUCUUGGGGGCGUCUCUCAAGGACGAGGUUUUGAAGAUUAUGCCGGUGCAGUAGCAGACCGGUGCUGGCCAGCGCACCAGGUUCAAGGCGUUUGUUGCUAUCGGGGACUACAAUGGCCACGUCCGCCUGGGUGUUAAGUGCCUCAAGGAGGUGGCCACCGCCAUUCGUAGGGUCAUCAUCCUGGCAAAAACUCUCCAUUGUCCCCCUGCGCAGAGGCUACUGGGGGAACAAGAUCGGCAAGCCCCACACCAUCCCUUGCAAGGUGACAGGCUGCUGCGGCUCUGUGCUGGGGCGCCUCAUCCCUGCACCCAGGGGCACUGGCAUCGUCUCAGCGCCUGUGCCCAAGAAGCUGCUCAUGAUGGCUGGUAUCGAUGACUGCUACACCUCAGUCCGGGGCUGCACUGCCACCCUGGGCAACUUCGCCAAGGCCACCUUUGAUGCCAUCUCUAAGACCUACAGCUACCUGACCCCUGACCUCUGGAAGGAGACUGUAUUUACCGUCUCCCUAUCAGGAAUUCACUGACCACCUUGUCAAGACCCACACCAGAGUCUCCGUGCAGCGGACCCAGGCUCCAGCUGUGGCUACAACAUAGGGUUUUUAUACAAGAAAAAUAAAGAGAAUUAAGCCUGAAAA